CAGGGGAUCCUUAAAAGAAAAUGGAUAUUAACUUUAGAGGGGCAGCAAAACAGAGACGAAAAUGAGAUGAGCUCUUCCACCACACGAACCAAGCAGCAAUGAGGAGUCUAAGAAGAAAACUCGAGAUCAGACUAGCCUAGAAAGAUGAUGGUGAUCGAUUCGAAAAAGCGAGACUUGAACGAAAAAUAAUUCCCCCUGCCCUCCUUUGAAUGUAUUUCCUAUAUCCUCUAACUAUCUUUGUUAUGACGAUUCUUUAUGCCUUAG
rnacentral:misc_RNA from 1 species